rnacentral:rRNA from 1 species
GUCGAGCGAACCAAUAAGAAGCUUGCUUUUUGUUGGUUAGCGGCGGACGGGUGAGUAACACGUGGGUAACCUGCCUGUAAGACCGGGAUAACUCCGGGAAACCGGUGCUAAUACCGGAUAGAUUAUCUUUCCGCUUGGAGAGAUAAGGAAAGAUGGCUUUUGCCAUCACUUACAGAUGGGCCCGCGGCGCAUUAGCUAGUUGGUGAGGUAACGGCUCACCAAGGCGACGAUGCGUAGCCGACCUGAGAGGGUGAUCGGCCACACUGGGACUGAGACACAGUCCAGACUCCUACGGGAGGCAGCAGUGGGGAAUUUUGGACAAUGGGCGAAAGCCUGAUCCAGCAAUGCCGCGUGAGUGAAGAAGGCCUUCGGGUUGUAAAGCUCUUUUGUCAGGGAAGAAACGGUGAGAGCUAAUAUCUCUUGCUAAUGACGGUACCUGAAGAAUAAGCACCGGCUAACUACGUGCCAGCAGCCGCGGUAAU